GCAGCUUGAGUCUCGUUGCCAAACUCAAGCAGAUCAAGCCUGUCAGGAGAGCUGGAUUUCUCUAAUAAUUCGUGUCAUCUUGGUUGAAUUCUUGUGGCCAUGAGACAGAAUAGUAAUACUUCUUCCGAGCACCGCAACAUAUCACUCCUCCGCGUUUUCGGCCAAGGCAAAAUGGUCCUGAAAAAGGUCAUCACUGGAUAGCGCCCCCUAAUAUUUCAAGCGUGAUAUUUUCCUUUAGAAUUGUUGCAUCACACCAUCUUUAUAAUUUCUACCACCAUCUUAUAAUCCGUCUCGGCACUUGGCACUCGGAUAAUAAGUUUUUCGCUUCAA